rnacentral:lncRNA from 1 species
GAGGCGGUUGAUUAUGUAAGGUGCAAAAUACCUAUUCUCGUUAACAUAGAUCGUAUUAUAUUGUGUAAAUUUCAAUCACCAAACUUUAAGCCAAAUAAUUGUGAAUUAUUGACACUUAUGGUGAUAACAAUUCUUCAAUUAGAUCUAUCAGUACAACGACCAAAAUAAAGGAGAAAUUUGUUGUUUGAUGUUCAUCAGACAUGAAACCACCAAAUUUGACUUUUCUAAGAAUAAAUAAGUUAACAUAAGAAUAAAUAAGUUAACAAUUGGUUAAAUUAAAGUUCAAUUAUAUCCAAAUAAAUAUCAAUCAUAUCAGCGAAGAUGUCUGUUAUCAUUAUACAUGAUCCUUUAGUUUGCUCCAAUUAUCCUUUGUUGAUAUCGAUUAAAUAUCCGGAUAAUAUUCUCUACACAGCCAGCUAUUUAACAAUUUACAAACUACACAGCCAGCUAUUUAACAAUUUACAAACUUACUUUCGCAACGACACAUACAUCGAGUCAGCUAAACAAAUACAAACUACACGGUCAGCUAUUUAACAAUUUACAAAUUUACUUUUGCAACGAAAAAGACGAAUACGACAACCAAGAUCAAUGAAAUUACCUAAACAAAAAAGCAGAGUAAGUUAUGAACUCUGAUAAAUACAACUAACAAUGAUUUUUGUUUACAUAUUCCCAAUCAAAUAAAAAAUAAACAAACACAGCCACAACAAGAGAUACAAGAGACAAUCCCGACAGACACAAAGGCGGCAACAACAGCUCCACCUGCUCACUCCUCUUGUCUUAUAAAAAUAGCUUACAUGUCCAAUGUCAACAUGCCAAUGCUAU